GCGGCCUUUUAGCCAUUUAUGUUGUUUGAUUUGAUUUCAAGUUGCGAGAGUUUGUUAGUUGCGAGAGUGUUAAAAACAAUCAAAUCGAUGGCAUUUUUGGUUAGAUCGACGCGUUGACGUGUGAGUGGCAAAUAGAUUGUAUGUUUUGGCUGGCUCCCUGCUUGUGCAGCGAACAGUUUCUGCUUACACAAUUCAGUUGAGAAACUUUAUCGUCCCUAGUAGAUAUUUGUGUUGGCAAUCCGAUUUAGUAAUUGAUUGGUCCCAAAAGUUUGAAUUCGCCGAACACCCUUUGAGGUGGCCGGGCGACGAUGAAGAUGCCCCAUAUUUUUCCAUGCUCUAUCCUUUUUGGGGACCCAUGGAAUUUUGUUAGCAUUGCUUGUUGCCUCGGAUGCAGAGCGUGAAAUGAGCAUGAUGUGCCCCAUCAUUGCUUUUUCAGAGCUCUCGAUUGCUCAAAAAGAUAGACCGCCGCACUUGGUUUUAGGCUCGCGACUUGUCGUCUUGCUUGAAACCUAGUCGACGUCUUCGAUGAAUGCUACCUGGUUGAUCCUGCCAGUAGUCAUAUGCUUGUCUCAAAGAUUAAGCCAU
rnacentral:misc_RNA from 1 species